CCGAGUGUCAGUUCACUGUGGCGGCAGGGGUGGCGGAGCGGGUCUCCAGGGCCAGGGGGCGGCGGGGUCCAGGGAAGGGUGGGGCUCGGGGGAGGCCGCGGGUCCGCCUCCGCGCCGCACGGCCGGGUGUUUGGGGCGCGGCUCUGGGCUCCCGGGACCUGGGCCGCCAGGCGAGCCCAGUGGUUAGCGAUGCUGCCGUGGCUGCUGCUGCCGCUGCUGCUGUUGCUGGGGGCACCGCGGGGCUGCGCCGAGGGCGUGGCGGAGGCGCUCUCGCCGGAGCGGCUCCUGGAGUGGCGCGAUAAAGGGAUAUUUGUUAUCCAAAGCGAGAGUCUUGAGAAAUGCAUCCAAGCAGGGAAAUCGGUACUGACCCUGGAGAACUGCAAGCAAGCAAACAAGCACAUGCUGUGGAAAUGGGUUUCAAACCAUGGCCUCUUUAACAUAGGAGGCAGCGGUUGCCUGGGCCUGAAUUUCUCCGCCCCAGAGCAGCCGUUAAGCUUAUAUGAAUGUGACUCCACCCUCGUUUCCUUGAGGUGGCACUGUAACAGGAAGAUGAUCACGGGCCCGCUGCAAUACUCCGUCCAGGUGGCGCGUGAUAACACUGUGGUGGCCUCACGGAAGAAUUUUCAUAAGUGGAUUUCUUAUGUGUCAGGUGGUGGAGACAUUUGCAAAUAUCUACACAAAGAUUUGCAUACAAUCAAAGGGAACACCCACGGGAUGCCGUGUAUGUUUCCCUUCCAGUAUAACCACCAGUGGCAUCAUGAAUGUAUCCGUGAAGGUCGAGAAGAUGACUUACUGUGGUGUGCCACGACAAGCCGUUAUGAAAGAGAUGAAAAGUGGGGAUUUUGCCCUGAUCCCACUUCUGCAGAAGUAAGUUGUGAUGCUAUUUGGGAGAAGGACCUCAAUUCACACAUUUGCUACCAGUUCAACCUGCUUUCAUCUCUCUCUUGGAGUGAGGCACAUUCUUCAUGCCAGAUGCAAGGAUGUGCACUAUUAAGUAUUACAGAUGAAACUGAAGAAAAUUUCAUAAAGGAGCACGUGAGCAGUAAAGCAGUGGAGGUGUGGAUCGGUCUCAAUCAGCUGGAUGAACACGCUGGCUGGCAGUGGUCUGAUGGAACGCCGCUCAACUACCUGAACUGGAGCCCAGAGGUAAAUUUUGAGCCAUUUGUUGAAUAUCACUGUGGAACAUUUAGUUUGUUUAUGCCAAGUGCCUGGAGGAGUCGGGAUUGUGAGUCCACCUUGCCAUACAUAUGUAAAAAAUAUCUAAACCACAUUGAUCAUGAAAUAGUUGAAAAAGAUGCUUGGAAAUAUUAUGCGACCCACUGUGAGCCUGGCUGGAAUCCUUACAAUCGUAAUUGCUACAAACUUCAGAAAGAAGAAAAGACCUGGCGUGAGGCUUUGCAUUCUUGCCAGGCUGAUAAUAGUGCAUUAAUAGAGAUAACCUCAUUAGCGGAAGUGGAGUUUCUUGUAACCUUCCUUGGAGAUGAAACUGCAUCAGAAACAUGGAUUGGUUUGAGCAGCAAUAAAAUUCCAGUUUCCUUUGAAUGGUCUAAUGACUCUUCAGUCAUCUUUACUAAUUGGCACACACUUGAACCCAAAAUUUUUCCAAAUAGAAGCCAGCUGUGUGUCUCAGCAGAGCAGUCUGAGGGACACUGGAAAGUCAAAAAUUGUGAAGAAACGCUGCUUUAUAUUUGCAAGAAAGCAGGCCAGGUCCUCUCUGAUGCUGAAUCAGGAUGUCAAGAGGGAUGGGAGAGACAUGGUGGAUUCUGUUAUAAAAUUGACACAGUCCUUCGAAGCUUUGACCAAGCUUCCAGUGGUUAUUAUUGUCCUCCUGCACUUGUAACCAUUACAAACAGGUUUGAACAGGCUUUUAUUACCAGUUUGAUCAGUAGUAUGGUAAAAACAAAGGACAGUUAUUUUUGGAUAGCUCUUCAAGACCAAAAUGAUACAGGAGAAUACACUUGGAAGCCAGCAGGGCGGAAACCCGAGCCGGUGCAGUACACACACUGGAAUGCUCACCAGCCCCGCUACAGUGGUGGCUGUGUGGCCAUGCGAGGAAGGCAUCCACUUGGUCGCUGGGAAGUGAAGGACUGUCGGCACUUUAAGGCAAUGUCCUUGUGCAAGCAGCCAGUUGAAAAUCGGGAAAAAGCAGAGCAUGAAGAGAGAUGGCCCUUUCACUCCUGCUAUUUGCACUGGGAAUCAAAGCCUGGUCUGGCCAGUUGCUUCAAGGUAUUUCAUAGUGAAAAAGUUCUGAUGAAAAGAACAUGGAGAGAAGCUGAAGCAUUUUGUGAAGAAUUUGGAGCUCAUCUUGCAAGCUUUGCCCAUAUUGAGGAAGAGAAUUUUGUGAAUGAGCUCUUACAUUCAAAAUUUAAUUGGACAGAAGAAAGGCAGUUCUGGAUUGGAUUUAAUAAAAGAAACCCACUGAAUGCUGGCUCAUGGGAAUGGUCUGAUAGAACUCCUGUUGUCUCUUCAUUUUUAGACAAUAAUUAUUUUGGAGAAGAUGCGAGAAACUGUGCUGUUUAUAAGGCAAACAAAACACUGUUGCCCUUACAUUGUGGUUCCAAACGUGAAUGGAUAUGCAAAAUCCCAAGAGAUGUGAAACCCAAGAUUCCAUUCUGGUACCAGUAUGAUGUACCCUGGCUCUUUCAUCAGAAUGCAGAAUACUUUUUUCAUAACUUUGCCUCAGAAUGGUCUAACUUCGAGUUUGUCUGUAGCUGGCUACACAGUGAUCUUCUGACAAUUCAUUCUGCACAGGAGCAAGAAUUCAUCCACAGCAAAAUAAAAGCGCUAUCAAAGUAUGCUACAAGUUGGUGGAUUGGAUUUCAAGAAGAAAGAGUCAAUGAUGAAUUUCGCUGGAGAGAUGGAACGCCAGUGAUAUACCAGAACUGGGACACAGGAAGAGAAAGAACUGUGAAUAAUCAGAGCCACAGAUGUGGCUUUAUUUCUUCCAUAACAGGACUCUGGGGUAGUGAAGAGUGUUCAGUUUCUAUGCCUAGUAUCUGUAAGCGAAAAAAGGUUUGGCCAGUAGAAAAAAAGGAAGAUACACCUAAACAACAUGGAGCGUGUCCCAAAGGAUGGCUAUAUUUUAACUAUAAGUGCCUUUUGCUGAAUAUCCCAAAAGACCCAAGCAGUUGGAAGAACUGGAUGCAUGCUCAACAUUUCUGUGCUGAAGAAGGGGGGACCCUGGUUGCCAUCGAAAGUGAAGUAGAGCAAGCUUUCAUUACGAUGAAUCUUUUUGGCCAGACCACUAGUGUGUGGAUAGGUUUACAAAAUGAUGAUUAUGAAAAAUGGCUAAAUGGAAAGCCUGUGGUAUAUUCUAACUGGUCUCCAUUUGAUAUAAUAAAUAUUCCAAGUCACAAUACCACUGAAGUUCAAAAACACAUUCCUCUCUGUGCCUUGCUGUCAAGUAAUCCUAAUUUUCAUUUCACUGGAAAAUGGUAUUUUGAAGACUGUAGAAAGGAAGGCUAUGGAUUUGUAUGUGAAAAAAUGCAAGAUACUUCUGGACACAGUGUAAACACAUCUGACAUGUAUCCAAUCCCUAAUACCUUAGAAUAUGGAAACAGAACUUACAAAAUAAUUCAUGCAAAUAUGACUUGGUAUGCAGCAAUAAAAACCUGCAUGAUGCACGGAGCACAGCUGGUCAGCAUCACAGACCAGUAUCACCAGUCCUUCCUCACUGUUGUCCUCAACCGGCUGGGAUAUUCCCACUGGAUUGGACUGUUCUCCGCAGAUAAUGGUCUUAAUUUUGACUGGUCUGAUGGCACGAAAUCCUCUUUCACUUUUUGGAAAGACGAGGAGUCAUCCUUCCUUGGUGACUGUGUUUUUGCCGACACCAAUGGACGCUGGCAUAGAACAGCCUGUGAAUCAUUUCUGCAAGGUGCCGUUUGUCAUGUGGUCCCUGAAACAAGACCAUCUGAACACCCAGAGUUGUGCUCAGAAACAUCUAUUCCCUGGAUAAAAUUUAAAAGUAAUUGCUACAGUUUUUCUACAGUCCUAGAUGGUAUGAGUUUUGAGGCUGCUCAUGAAUUUUGCAAAAAGGAAGGAUCUAAUCUUUUAACAAUCAAGGAUGAGGCUGAAAAUGCAUUUCUCCUAGAAGAGCUGUUUGCGUUUGGUUCUUCUGUCCAGAUGGUUUGGUUGAAUGCUCAAUUUGAUGGUAACAAUGAAACCAUAAAGUGGUUUGAUGGAACUCCUACAGACCAGUCAAACUGGGGCAUUCGGAAGCCAGGCACAGACUACUUCAAGCCCCAUCACUGUGUUGCCCUGAGGAUCCCUGAAGGAUUAUGGCAGCUAUCUCCGUGUCAAGAAAAAAAGGGCUUUAUAUGUAAAAUGGAGGCAGAUAUUCGCACUGCAGAGGAGCAGCCAGAAAAAGGGCCAAGUCACAGCAUAAUUCCUCUUGCAGUAGUACUGACACUGCUACUCAUUCUGGCCAUUGUCGCACUUUCCUUCUGCAUAUACAAGCAGAAUGGUGGCUUCUUCAGAAGACUUGCAGGAUUUCGGAAUCCUUACCAUCCUACAACCAACUUUAGUACAGCACAUUUAGAAGAAAUUAUUCUCAUUCCUGAUCUUGAGAAGAGUGAACAAUAAUAAUGAGGUCAGAGAAUGCCACAGCCACCGAUUGGAGUGCUAACUACCUUCAAUGGAAGAUUUAUCCCAUCUGUUCCCUGACUAUUGUCAAAGAACACGCUACAGAAAAAGUCUGGUGAAAACAAAGUGAAGAGCAUGUUGCUAAGAACCUAUCAUCUUAUGUUAUCCAGAAGAAAGUCCCAAGACUUGAUUUAUCUUAGAUUUCCAUAUGAGAAGCAGGGCAAAACCCUGUGUGUCUCCAGCCUACCUAACACACCAUCCGCUUUAGCAUUAGGACCCAGACACGUCUUGCUGCAGGCCACGCUGGCUUCCAUCUGCUGCUCUCUUUUCUCUGCAGUCUUCUUUUGUGUCACUUCCCUGUCUUAUCAGCACUUCUAAUUCUCAUACUCCUGCUUACCCCUUACAACCUUAUGCCUUAGUAUUAAUAGGGUAUGGCAGGGGAAAACUCACUUAGUUUCCAUUCCAUUCUUAGAGAAGAAAAAUUGGGAGACAUUUCCAAAAUGGCAUGUACAUCAGAAUUCUUAUUGCCAAUAUUUAUAAGAAAUUUUGUAGGGAUUAUCAAGAUACAUGGUUGAAAUAUUUAUUCCCUCUUUCCCCACUUUUCAAAGAUUUAGAGCAGGGGUUGGCAGGGCCAAAUCUAGCCUGCAUCCCAUCUUGAAACUAAAGUUAUUGGAACACUGCCAUCCCCAUUCACUCACAUAUUGUGCAUGACUGCUUUCAUGCUUCCAUGACAGAGCUGAGUGGUUGCAACAGAGACCGAACGGCCUGCAAAGCCUAAAAUAUUCACUUUCCGGACCUUUGCAGGAAGUUUGCCAACCUUUGAUUUAGAAAGUGAAAACCUAAAUGGGGAAGUCUUACAUACUUUAACGUAUCUUAGCGAGCACUGUUAUGUUAAUGUAUAUGGGCGGCACUUAAAAUAUAUUAAUAAACAAUUCUGGUCAGUAAACAUUUAUUUAGAUCCUACUGUGGCCCAGAAAGUGUCCUGUACUCUGAGGCUAUAAAUACUGAUAACACCCCAUCUCUUCCCUCAUAGAACUCAGCCUCAGGGGAGAGGAAUAUGUAAAUAAUAAGUGCAAUGCAAUGUGACAUAAAUAAUAUCAAGAGGAAGAGAAUCAGAGAAAAAGGGAGGGGGCUGAUUAAUUCUGUCAGAAGUAGAGAAGGGCUUAACAAACAAUAUGUAUUAAAUUGUAGGAAAUGUUAGAAAAAAACAGCUCUCUUUAAUAUUUUUUGAGUUAUAAAGCGAGUUUUUAGCUUGAGGUCAGAAUAUUUUUAGAGAAAAAUUUUUAAAUGUGCCUAAAUCUGAAAUUCUGGCUUUAAAAACGUGAAAAUCCACAUGUGCCUAUAAUACCUAAUGAUGAAUUCUAAUUGCAGAAGAAUGCCAAUAACUAAGACCACAAAAUGAGCCCAAUGUAUACCGGUGACCUUCUUUACUCAAAGUUAAUUAACACAAGCACUUUUUUCUUGCAGAGCACUUUGCUGUAAUUUAGAACGAAUUAAGGGAAAAAAUCAUUCAAGUGCUGUUUUCUGCACACCAUGAAGUAAGCGUGAUGGACAAAAGUUAACUUAUUUAAAAUAUUAUCAUCAAUUUCUUGUAAUUGUGAACAGCAACACCAUCCUUUUUCUUCAAAAAAAGACACCCUGAUCUAUGCUGUUUUCAACUUGUGUCCUGUACUUCUAUUUAUUAAUGGAAAUUGAUUUUUCAAGAUUAAUAUAAAAUGUAUUUCUAUUUCUCCCAGUAAGUCUCUUAUGUAUAUUAGAUUUGAGGUAUGUAUUCCCGGAUAUUUUUCCAAUAAGCAUUUCUAAUAUAAUACAGUAAAUUGUUAAAGG